rnacentral:rRNA from 1 species
CCUACGGGUGGCAGCAGUGAGGAAUAUUGGUCAAUGGACGAAAGUCUGAACCAGCCAAGUAGCGUGCAGGAUGACUGCCCUAUGGGUUGUAAACUUCUUUUAUAUGGGAAUAAAAUGCUCCACGUGUGGGAUUUUGUAUGUACCGUAUGAAUAAGGAUCGGCUAACUCCGUGCCAGCAGCCGCGGUAAUACGGAGGAUCCGAGCGUUAUCCGGAUUUAUUGGGUUUAAAGGGUGCGUAGGUGGAUUGUUAAGUUAGCGGUGAAAUUUCGAGGCUCAACCUUGGAAUUGCAGUUAAAACUGGAAGUCUAGAGUGCAGGAGAGGUAGGCGGAAUUCGUGGUGUAGCGGUGAAAUGCUUAGAUAUCACGAAGAACUCCGAUUGCGAAGGCAGCUCACUGGACUGCAACUGACACUGAGGCUCGAAAGUGUGGGGAUCGAACAGGAUUAGAUACCCGAGUAGUC